AUUAUUGGCCUUCUAUAGUUGGGUCCGUGAAAAGUCAAUGUGGCUGAAUCACAAGACGAUGCAGCAGCUGUUGAUGCUGUUAUAUUUGCUGUUGGUUGUAAUUUUGUUGCCGUUCACAAACUACUGUUUCUUCGCUGAAUGUCAAGGAGAUGCAGCAGCUGUAGAUGCUGUUUUAACUUGGCUGCGUAUAAUUUGUUGCUGGUGACAUACUACUGUUUGUUGGUUGAAUGCAAGCAGAUGCAGCAGCUGUUGGUGCUGUUUUAGCUUUGCUGUUGUAUUUUUUUGUUGCUGGUGACAAAUUACAUUUUCUAUACAAAUGUUCAGGAUGCUCAUGAUCGGUGUUAGCUGUGAUCAUCUUAAAGAUGAAAGGAAUCCACAUGUCUAAGUGUAGCAGUUGAAGUUGAUUCCAGGUCGAGAUUUGUUAUGCCGAGUAGAGAUUUCAAUAUAAGAUCAAAUCUCAAUGAGUUCCAAGGGUAGUGGUUUGACCAUAAACAUCUUACUGACUUAAUUUUUUAUUCAUCUUAAAAUGGACAAAUAAUAUUAAAUUUCCCAAUCA